CAAGGGCACGGCAGGCUCAGUGGAGGGGGCGGGAAGGGGUGGAGUGGGGGCAGGGCCUGCGGCAGAGCCAGCGGUUGAGCAAUGAGCAUCCCCCUGCACAUUGGGAAGUUGGCACCUGUAGCUCCAGCCCCGGAGUCGGUGCCUAUACAAGGAGCCGGAUAUUAACUUCUGAAGACCCGCAUGUGGCUCCGGAGCCACAGGUUGGCCACUCCUGAUCUUAUGGUUAAGGCAGCUGACUGCUCCUAAGACUGUCCCUUCGCCCGCAGCUGAUGACUUCAGGAAAAGUCUGGCCCUGGUCUUACAAACUUUUACGCACGUUUAAUUUCAUACAAUGAGGAGUCCCAUAAGAUGUUUUUAAAAUAAAUCAAAAUAAAUACAUUCACCUUUGGGGAAACAACAGAGUGCAUUUGUAAUCAUAAUAAUAAUUUAGAUGACUUCAGUGGGACCACUCAUGUAAAGUUUAAGCAUGUGUGUAAGUGUUUCAGGAUCAACUUCUAUCUGAUAUUUACAGAAUGCCUGCUCACUGCACCUCUCCACCAGCUGCCCUCUUGCUGCACCUCUCUGCCACACCAGCCACUCCUUCGCCGGCUGACUGUCAGUCACCUGCCUCUCUGCUGUGACCUCUGCACAUCAGUCUCUUAUUAUACUUAGAGGCCUCGGUCAGGAUCAGAAACCCAGUGAGGUUGGUACUGACAACCACGUGAGGAAAAGAUUGAGCCUGCCCCAGAGAGCUUACAAUCAAGUAUAAAAUGGAAAACAAGAGGAUGCAGUCAGACAGAUGUGAGAAUAACAAGAAAAUCCAGCUGCUAUUAAAGGAGAGGAAGUGAGGAGUAGAGCCCUGCAGCGGGGCUAGGAUCCUGUGGGUCUUGCAGGACCCACUGCCAUAAUAAUGGGAGCAGGUCCCACAGGAGAAGCAUUGAUAUUCCUGUUUCCUUCAUGAGGAGACACUCUCUGCUGGGCUGUUUCAGACCAUCUGUCCAGUUCCCAAGAGCUUGAAUCAUAGACAGCUGGUCAUCACGAGGCUCUGCACGGCCAGUGCCAAUGAAGUCCCUGAUACACGCUGGGGUGGUAGGGCACUCUGCCACUAACAGUCCCCAUGGUCUACUCUAUGCACUCUGAGCUCUGACAGAAAGUGAAUGCUUUAUCCGCACACUUACCAUCUCUGUGGUCUCAGCUUGUAUGCUGGGAAUUUCAAACUCCCCAUGAAGAGUGAGCAACUGGAAUCAGGAACCUCUUGGGGGAAUGGGAAGCUUAACAAGUCUGUGACGUUGUGUAAAUAAUGUUAUAAUAACCAAAUCCUGGUCCCUGUCUUAAUCCUGUGUGCAAUCGGAGUCAAUGCAGGAGACCCCCACAUGUUCUCACAGGGAUGAAUCCUACAACAGUGGAUCUGUACAGUUGCAGAUCUACUGGCCAAAUACCUCCCUCCUUCUGCAGUGCUACAGGGAGAAACACCACAUGAUGCUGCAUCAUGGUGUGCAAAUAGCACAAGUUCCCCUGUGAUCCUCUGCAUAGCUUGUCAUGUGCCCCAUCUUCUGCAGGAGACCUGAAGUGAUUGUCCUGUAUUUAGGGCCUUUGGUGCGUGCAGAGCAGGGUGCAGAAUUUGCACCCAUGAAUGGAUGUCUUUUUCUAAAGCCAUAGAGUAAUUCCCCAGGCUUUCAAGGAGGUCUUUGGAUACAUACAGCCAGAUUCUGCCAUUCUUACUCACAGUGGAGUAGUACCUUACAUUGUGAUUAGUCCCCUUGAAAUCCAUGAGACUCCUAGUAGAUUAAGGUAGCAGUCAAGGAUGGCAGAAAUCUCACCUAGAAUAAUUAACAAUCUCCUCUUUACCUGUUCAACAUGAUGAAUUACUGUGCUUUGUAGCCUUGUUAAUUUUAUCAUGUCUAACGGAGGAUGAAUAACUUGGCACCUGAGGUUAUAAAGUGUUGACUGCUUUCAACGUCCAUUGAUAUCUUUAUUAGAUAGAAAUUAAUACUCUUAACUGUUUUUUAAAUACAAGAGUGGUUGAAGAAACAUCUUAUUUAUAUAAAUCACAAUAUGAAAGCCUUUUAGAAAAUGCAAUCAGUUGAAACACUUAAUCUUUGUUCACUAGUCUUUGUGUUGAGUCUUACAUGGGAAUCCCUUUGUACCAGCUCCUCAGGAAUAUUUUAAUUUAUCAGUACAGUUACUAUGUUCUCAAUGGCAGGGAAAUUAUUGGGAGGAGAGGAAGGGGAGGGAAGUGUGUGAUACAAUGGUCCCUUUUCAUCUAUUUGCAUAAACUGCAGUAUUUUUUGCAGUAGACAUUAUAUGCUGAUGAUGGAACAAAAAUGCUUCUGUUAAAAAUGUACUACAUCACAUGAAUACUUUUCGUAAUUCCUUUCUGAUUCACAUUAUCCUAUUGGAAUUACUUUGAUUAUUUUAUUGGAUCUCUGCUGCUACCCUGGAGGUGAGGCUUAGAUCCCAGUAGAUGUUGCUAUUAUACAGCACCCAAAAAUGCACUAGGCAUGAAAAGAGUUUACAUGAUCCCAUGAUAAAGAAUUUACAGUCUGAUUUUAGACAUGAUACAAUGACUGAAAGUUUUUUUUUUAAAAGGGGAGAAGUAAAAUGAUGACAAGAUUUAUACUCUAGUAAUAAGAUCAUGUAAUUCCUCAGUUUUUAGUAUGUGUACAUCUUAAAGAUUCUGUGAAAUGUAUAACUAA